UUAAUUUUUGAUCAAACACUUCAGUGACCAUCAAAUGGUUGCUGAAGUGAAUUAACUAGUCAUUUAAUCAAUAAUUCCAUGCAUUAUAAGACCCAAAAGAUUGGGAAAAUGGGAUUUAAUCUCCUCCGAGUUAGAUUCUCUCCUGGAAAAAAUCCUGGAACAAGUAUCUGGUAUGAAUUAAAAGUCCUUAUGAGUCCCAUACUUUAUAUAGCACCUUAACCAGAGGUCUUCCCUUCCCUAACACUAUUUCUAUGACCAAUACACGUGAAGUCCCUGUGAAGGUUGUACUGAACAUUUGCUGUUUUUGUCUGAGGGUUAUUCUUUCUCUCUGAUCAGAUAAUUUUGGGAACUUGCCAACAAAAACACUCUCUGGCCUGGCCAUACAGAGUACCCAAUCUCCUGAACAAUGAAAUUGGUUCAGGAAUGAGCAUGUGACCCAAGCUGAUCCACUCAGAAUCCUUGCCCAGUUGUUCUUCAGUUUGGAGCAUGAAACACAGGACCAUGUCUAAGGGCACGCACAGCAAGAAGGGUAUUUGUUGAAGCUGGAGCAUCCACAGUCCUGUGGAAAAGGCUAAUCUGCAGAUCAGUGCAGCUCAAGAGCAAGCAGCCCCCAGAUGGGAAGAAGAUGAAACUCUUAGGGGUAUUUAGCCAAAGAGGGAAAAGAGAGGAGGAAAAAUUGUGCUUGUGGUAAAUGAAAGAUCCUGCGUUGCUCAUCUAGGCUACAGAAAUGUGUACACAUGUGCACCAAAAGAUGUGUACAAGAAUGUUCGGAAUAGCGUUACUCUUAAUAGCAAAAAAUUGGAAACAGCUCAAAUGUCCAACAACAGAAUGAAAUAUAUUCCUGUCAGAGAAACGUCAAACAAAUUUACUGCAGAGGAUUAUGGAAUCUACUUUCCUUUAAGCCUUUGGAAGAAAGACUUCUCUCCUUCUUGGACAUAUCUAAAGUGCCUAGAACAUCCCUCGAAAAAUAAUAGACACUUCCUGCAUGGUUCUUGAAGAAGUGAAUUAAUAAAACAUAUGAUGAAUAUGAUCCAAGAGAUAAAAAUAUCCGAGGCAUGGGGUGAAGUCUUGAUUCAGGAGAAUGUGAGAAGCCACAUAAAUGAUCCCGGGUCUGCAUGGAAUCUGGAAAAGUAGGUACAGUUCCUCUGCUCUGAUGGGAGCACCAGAAAUCCAGUGGUACACGGAAUUCUCAUUGAAGUUAGAAGAUAUUCGACAAUGGUAAAAAUUGGGCACUCAGUCUCUAACCUUUUGGCCUACCACUUUUUGUUGGCUCUGUGUUCUAACUCUUUGAUUCUUUUCUAGGUUGUUCUUCAUUCGGCAGGUACCUACUAACUAUAUGCUCAUUUGAUGUAUUCAGGACUGACCUGUAAAACUGGCCUUAUCUUGGUGCUUGGAUUGUCUUGUUUUGCUUUCACUGAAAAAGGAAAAAAAAGAUACUAAAAAACGCAUCAAAACAAAAAACAAACACAACUGGUCUCCAUAGAUAGAAUCCAUUUAUCUUGUUUCUUCAAAGAUUUAUUUUUCAUUGUUUCAAGAACUUUUGACAAAUGAGCAUUAGAGGAAAAGUGCUGACAAUUUCAACUUUAUUAGUUCAAAUGUUAUUUUCUCAAUUUCAAAACUCAAAAAGCUGAUCUGGAAAAGAAAUGAUGCAAGGCGGUUGUUACAGAAUAAUUAUAGAUUUACUCCUAGAGGAAAACAUAAUUGCCUACAUACUACAUUAAGUGAACAUACACUCCUUCUACAUCAUAUAGUUAAAAUAAACCAUGCGCUUUCUGAAAAUUACAGUAUGAGAUUCACUUGUGUCCACAGGCUCACCCUGGUGUGGCCCUGCUGGGCUGGGAAUGAUGGAAUUGGAUGGGGGAACGGGAUCCCUACAUUAUUGCUGCAGAGAGUUCCUCCAAGUUGAGUAAGCUGAAUGGAGAUUUGAAAGAUGGGACAACUUCUAAACUGAUGGCAGAGCUAUAAAUAUCUGGGAAGCUGCCACCAGAAUUCCCAGCCUUGCAAGUAGUUACACGAAAUGGGGAAAAUUCUUUUAAACAAAGAUUGCUGCCCGGCUGCAAAUCUGGGAAGACAAGGCAAAAAUGUAUGAGCCUAUCAGAGAGUGGCUAGAGCCAGACCUUGAGGAGUUAUCACCGUGUGCUUACAGGACAGAAGGGGGUGUUGUUCUUGUGCUGGGCUCUUCAGCCGGCUGCCCAGAGCCUUAUGUGGCUCAGUUUACUAUGGUUUAAAGCAGUGGCUUUCAAACAUGGUGGGUGACUCUACAGUAAGAAAUACAGUUUACAUUACAGCCCAGCGCACCCCUACACAUAUAAAACCAUUGAAGUAACGGAAAUAAAAGUUUAAUAAACCUACAGCUAUUUCCUAUUUUUAGUAUAUGCCAUGCAUGCACACUCUUUUGCACUUUAUGAACCAUUCUGUUAUAUUCUAGAAAGAGUAAAUUAACCUAUAAGAAAAUUAUCUACAAAUUCCGGUUAAAAUUGAAGGUCUGUAUUUUAGAGAUCUAUAUUAUAUGAAUAUAGAUAACAUAUAUCAUUUCUAUUUACAUAAAUGUUAAUCAUAACUUGCCUGUGGUCUGAGACCACGGUUUAAAAACCAAUAAGAAGUUCCAGUAAAUCCUUCCACAGUAGAGAAAGCUGUGGAGGGAGGGGGCUGCACUGCCCCUCACCUGCCUAAGGGGCUUCUGCUGCUUUGCCUGUUUUCUCAACACGGGGUGCAUAGUUUGAAAAGAGUUAAUCUACACUUAUUACCCUGAGUGUUCUGACAUUUUCUCUUUGGUUCAUUUUGUAUUCUCAGCAUGAAGGAAAACUAGAACAACAGGGGCCAUGACGGUUUGGCUCCUGUAUCUCCUUUCACAGCUCCUCCCAGGAUCUAGCACCAUGCAUCCUUUCCACCGGACGGCUGAUAGAUGCUGCUGACUGCUAACACAAUUACAUGACAAUGCAGAAGCAAUAUCAUUUGUAUAAUUUGAUUAGCUGCAUGGAAUUGUAUGCACAGACGUUUCUUCCUAAUGGAAGAAUUUCAGUCUGUAAAACUGGUUGAACUAAAGAUUCAAAUAUAAAAGUAUAGACUUUGCCCAUGAUGCUCUCUACCAUUCCAUCCUUCACUUGUUUAUUCAUUCAUGCCUCAAAUAUGCAUUGAAUGGCUACUAUUUGUCAGACAUUCUUUUAGGCGCUGGGCGUACACAGUUCCUGCCCUCAAAAAAUGUUAGUUAUAAGACAGGUAACAGGUGUUUCUCAAAAUUGUGGUUUAUUAAAAAUUAACAGUUGAACUGGUCUAAUUUUGAUUUAGCUGGGGCAGAUUUCUUGUGUUUACUUUGUUUUCCUCAAGGUCAUUAAUGAUAUAAUCUAAAAUAAUACCUGAUUAAAAAAAAAAACUUACCUUGCCAAAAAUGCACUCAGUAACAUUACAUUUACUCCCUGUUCACGGCAACCUUUGGAUCUCAAGCGCGUAGAAUUAGAUUAAUCGUAAUCCUGGUUCAUGAAAACUCUCAUGUUGGUCCACUGGAGCAGCAUCCAUCUACCUACUUACCUACCUACCUACCCUAUGUAAACUGAUCUAUAGAUUUAAUGUGGUGCCAAAUGUAACAACACAUUAUACAGUUAUUAUAAUUAAGGCAGCGUUUUUUUUUUUUUCAGUGAUGAUCACAAGUACCAUUCUGCAUGUAUUCAGUUUAAGGACAUAUGAAUGGUACCAGAAAAUAUAUUACAUAUGAGUCUGGAUCUCAGAAGAGACAAGGACUAUAUUUUAAAUAAUAGUUUAGUAUAAAAUGGUUACAGAUCAGAAGAGAAAUGAUUAUUCACUAAAUGGUGCCAAGAAAAUUAACAAACAAAUUUGAGAAAUUUAGAUCCUCUCCUAUUAUUUCCACCAAAUAUAAUUUUCAGGUGGAUAAAGUAUUUUGGAAAUACCUGUUCAUGGAGAGCCUGGGAGGCUCAGUAGGUUAAGUGUCAGCCUUCAGCUCAGGUCAUGAUCCCAGGGUUCUGGGGUCAAGCCCACAUUGGGCUCCCUGCUCAGUGGGGAGCCUGCUUCUCCCUCUCCCUCUGCCUGCCACUCCCCCUGCUGUGCUCUCUCUCUCUCUGUCAAGUAAGAUAAAAUCUGAAAAAAAAAAAAGAGAAAUACAUGUUCAUGGAUAUCUUUAGGUAUUAGAAUGGGAAAAGACUAAGAAUAAAACUUAGUCUCGAUAAAGAAUAAAACUAUAGUCACAAUUUAGAAGUUCCAUGAAAUUGGAAUCACAAAAAUCAUUACUUUCAUGUUGGAGAAUAUGAUAGGUAAAAUUAAAAAGAAAAUAAAAAAUUGGGAGAAAUAUUUGAACACAGAUAUGAUAAUAAAGGAGUUAGUGUUUUCAACAUAUAUGUGGGACUGGUAAAUCACUAUGACAAAAUGAUAUUCUAUCUAUGAUCGGGAUGGGGAGGAAGAACACCUCAGCAAAGGUUCCACUUCAAAUAAGAAAAAACAUGUGACAAUUUUUUCCUGCCCUAAAUCACUUUUUCCCUUCCACUGAUGGUUGUUCCCCAUCUCGUCCAUUUGGAAAAUGCUUCUCCUCUAAUUCAUGUAGUUUUUUGGAGGCUCUCAGCCAGAUUACAUUGGCCCCUGCCCACUUGGGUGGCCAUGUGAUCCAGACCUGGCCCGUGGGAGAUCUACCAUAGAGCCAAAACAAUGCAAGGCAGCAUUUAAAAGUGUCAGUGGUCAAGGUUAUUACUUUUUCAUUGGCCAGAGGAACAAAACAGAGAACCUGAACCAGACUUGUGCACCUUGUAGUAUACGUCUGAGGAGAUAUGGUAGAUCACUGAGGAAAGACAAUGAAAUCAAUUGAGCUAGGAAAAAAUGUGGAUCACCAACGUUGACUACAGAUGGACUAAGAACUUAGAUAUCAAAAGCUAACUUGAAAACUUUCAGAAGAAAAUGUAGGUGAAAGUCUUUCUAACCUCAAAGCAGAGAAGGAUUUCUUAUACAAGACACAGUAGAGCUAAUCAUAAAAGAGAAGAUUGAUAAACUUGACUACUCUAAAAUUAAGAACUUGUGCUCAUCACAUCAUCUUUAAAAAAAGAUAGAAGACAAUCUAAGGACUGGGGGGUGCAGCACACAUGACUGACAAGGAUCAGAAUCAAAAUUACAUGAAGAAUUCCUGCAAAUUAAAAAUGAUAGGCACCCCCUUUCCUUCUGUACUCACAAACUUACUCCUGCUUUCUCAACGUUCACAGACUCUGAUUCCCUUAUUCAUCCAACAACAAAUUAGAUAUCGUCUGAGCAAGUUGUUCAUUUCUAUCUCUAUGCCAUUUCCUCCAGCUGUAAUAUGGCCACCACCUGCUGAACUACUGACAUCCUAAACACCUCCCUGAGUAAAGCCCAUCACUCCCAAAAACCUUCUUUGAUGACUUUGACUGAUCAUUGCUUCUUCCUUCAGAAUUCAGACUCCAUUCAUACUUUCUUACUAUAAUUACAUAUUCCUUUUUGAAUUCUGAUUUUUUUAGAUAUCCUAUCUACCCUGUUACAUUUUAACUUUUCCUAAAUUUAAGAGCUCUUGUAUUUCAUCUACUUGCAUGGUUUUUCCUUCUGUCUGGCUUUUCCAUCCCCCAGCUUAGCCCAAUGUUGUGCCUGUCAUAGGUACCUAGCAAGUGGCUGACUGACUGCAAACAUUAGGAUUUUAUUCAGUUUCAUCACGAGCACUUCAAAAAAGUAGGACAAAAUUAAGGUGGAUUUACCCAAGGAAAUAAAAAGAAAAAGACAGCAGUUCACACAAAUAAAUGCCUAACGAGAUCUUAGGCCAGUUAUAGAAACAUAUGGAAGAGAUUUAAAAAUAUCCAUUUACGAAGAAAUUGUGAAGGAGGAAGAAAGCAAUGUAAACAAGCCAAAUUAAGGAAAAAUUACAUAUUGGAGAAAGACAAUAAGCAGCAAGUUUCAGAAAACAUUUCAAAUGGCACUAAAAAGUUCAAAUGGGAUGGCAACAAAUAAAAGUAAAUGACUGAACUAAUUAGGACUAUAAGCAAGAGAUUGUUUAGAAGAUAAAACCCCAGAUGUGUUUAUCUCUCUUAUUUUAGAAAAAGCAGGCAGAGAGCUACCUUUAUCAGACAACAAUUUUCCUGGGACAACAGAUGUAGGCAGUUAAAAAAAAAAAAAGUUACCUGCAAACAAAUUAGAUGAGGCAGAAAUUCUAAAUAGUCUAUGUUCACGAUUUUUGUAAGAAAGAAAAAAGUGAUGAAGCUUUGAUUUAGACAUUUUUAGAUGAUACCAGGAUUAUAAGGUUUCAGAAGGAUUAGAAUAUAACUAGGUAGGAAUUAAACCAUUGAUUAAAGGUUACAUAGGUGGAGAUAUCAACAGUGAAAUUAGUUUGGGCAUUUAAGAUGCUCCAAUUUCAUUGAUUACUCAAAAAUACUUGAAUGAAAGUGGUUAUUUGUACAUUGGAAGUUCAUUAAAACAUUACCUUCUAGUAGUGAAAUAGGAUGAAAGGGGAGUCCAUCUGCUCUUCAGUCUAGAGCUGCUGGGAUACUCGGGCACCAAAAAACCCUAAUUAUACAGCUCAGUCAUGUCUAAGGUUCUUCUGUGACAGGAAUUCUGAGGAUAGCAUUUCAGUACAAUGAGGCACCAUCUUCCCCAUCCAGGCGCCCACGGUCAGCAAGCAUUUUGUGUUGAAACUAGACAGAGCAACAGUUAAUGGGCAGUAAUUCCAUGCCUAGUGCUGCAUGAAAUGCUGUCAGAUUAAGUCAGAGAAAGACAAAGGUUUUCUGAUAUUCUGCAUUCUGUUUACAUGCAGCUGAUUAAUACAGAUGCAUCUAGUCAUUCCUUUAGUCAGCCACGGAAGGCACCAGGGGCAAAGUUAGAAGCAUGGAGGCUCUGGAAUCUGAAACUAUGAGAUCAAGUCCAGGGUCCAUCAUGUACUUGCCGGGUGACCUUGGGUAACUCACCCUUCCCGAGCCUUAUCUUGUAAAUGGGAGUGGGAGUUUGGGGUUGUAGCAGGAUAUCUCCUUUACAGGCUUAUUGUGAGAGUAACUUGAGUCUACACGUGAAACACUUUUAUAAUCAUUAACAUCCUCUAAAAUGAGAAAAGCCGAGAGGAUGAGAACUGAGAAGUCUUGACACUUGGGAUCCAAUAGAUCACUGGUUUUAUUGGAAGUGGAAAUUUGAUUGAGGUGAGGAUGGGAAAGUGUAAGCAGCAAGUGGAGGCAGUUUUUUCUAAUAAGUUUCUUGUGUAUUUGCCUUCCCAAAUAGACUAGGCUUUUAAAUUAGAGACUGUAUUUUAUUUUUUAAAAAAAUAUCUCAAACCCUGCAACAGAGCUUCGUAUCAGGUUAUCCUGCACAAAUAGUCUCUUAAAAUUUUAGUUAAAUAAAUUUUCAUGACAAAGGAAAGAGUGAAAGAAGACAACAGCUUUAAGCGAAGCAAAAUCAGAGGAAAUUUUUCCAUUUGGUUUUUUUUUUUUAAUUUUGAAAACAGGAGACCCCUGAAUAUAUUAAUUUUAAGAGAGCAGACUGAGAAAAAUAGGGGAGAUCAAAGGUAUUUCAGAGAUGUAGGUAUUAUCUUGAAUGGUGGAGCCAGGCAAGAGGAAAUGAGAUCAAGAAUAAAGAGGACUGCCGUACUGAAAAAAGCAAGAGAAAUUGGCGUCAAGUGUGCACGGAGACGGCCUCACCGUGGAGAGGUAAAGGUAGAGAAAUGCUAAGGUGUUCCUUGUGGUGAAGAAGUUUGAUGACGCUCAAGACAGGUAGCUUUUACCUUUCAGGACUGCAGGAGAUGUGUUUUUCCUGUUGGAUAAGACAGUGGGUUUGGAGAUUUGAGAUGGUUGAAUGUUCCACAAGAAGUUAAUAUGAGAUAAGAAAUGGAUAGUUGAAAAGGACAUGGUGUAGGGAUAUCAGGAUAUCAGGAGUGAUGAAAAGGAAGACUGAGUGUGAAUUACAGGUUAGAAAUCCUGGAGAGGGAGGGUUUAGUGGCUGGAUAUUUAAUCAUUAUCUUUGGAGUAUAUGUGGGGCAAGAAAGGUGUGCUGGUGCCUUGUCAAACGUAUAUUUCAAACGGCCCAUCCUGAUGGUAUAUUUUUUUUCUUUCAAUGGAAGAGGAUAAGCAGGAUGCUUGAUAUGCAACUUACAAAUUGCUUAGAGGAAACAAGCUUUUGAAAUAGAAGUGAGGAAAAUUAAUAUGUAAAUUUGGAAUUACUAUGAGGAAGAAACAUUGAAUAUUUGAACCUGUCUAGAGAUGGCAGUGUUGUCUUGAGAAGGGUAAAGCUCCGGGAAAUACGAAAGUUCAUGUAGGCCAGGGAGUAUGAUGAUUGGCUGGGGUUAAAACAAAUGAAGUUUAAUUUCAUGAUUCUUGGGAUAAGAUUAAGCAGCAUCCCAAUGCUAACCUAGAUGAACUAUGCCUCUUCCUUCUUUCUCCAAACUGUAAUGAAUAUUUAUUCUUUUUAUUAAGGAAAAUGAAUACAUAGAUAGGAGCAGUAAACUUUAGGUUUCAAAAACUCUGAUAACUUGAGCAGAUUUUUUAACUAGCUUGAGUCUCACCAUGCUACUAAACCCGAGCACAUAUUCCUUCAUCCCCUGCCCACUACUUUUUGAAAGGUAUUUACUACUCUUAUAACAACGGUUAAUAUGUGAAUACAUUAUGCUUAUAAAAUGUUUCAUUCAUGUAUAAUAGAAUAAUUUAUUUUACCAUUUUUCUGUUGUUGGGCACUUAGUUUGCUACCAAUUUUUUUCAUAUUCAAACUAUAAUGUAAUGAAUAUCUUUGGAUAUACUGCUUUGCUUAGAUGUGUUGGUGUGUCUCUGGGAUAAUGUGAGAUUGCUGUGUUGAAGGAUAUGCACACGAAUAAGGUACCUUUCUGAGAGGUUGUAUCGAUUUACAGUCCCAUCAAUAGUGCAUGAGGGCAUGCCCAAUUGUUUAAUAGUCUCAUAUAACACAUAACUAUGUCCUUAGGAUGAUGAAGAAAUUAAAAAGCAAACUCUUUGUUUUCUUGGCCUUUUAAAUCAGGAAAACUUAACAUAGAGACUCUGGACUCCAGGAAACCAACUGAGGGUUACA